rnacentral:rRNA from 1 species
AACUGGCGCAAGCCUGACGGAGCAAUGCCGCGUGGAGGUAGAAGGCCCAUCGGGUCGUGAACUUCUUUUCCCGGAGAAGAAGCAAUGACGGUAUCUGGGGAAUAAAGCCAUCGGCUAACUCUGUGCCAGCCGCCGCGGUAAUAUAAUACGUA